CAGUAGCCGCGGUAAUACGUAGGUGGCAAGCGUUGUCCGGAAUUAUUGGGCGUAAAGGGCUCGCAGGCGGUUUCUUAGGUCUGAUGUGAAAGCCCCCGGCUCAACCGGGGAGGGUCAUUGGAAACUGGGAAACUUGAGUGCAGAAGAGGAGAGUGGAAUUCCACGUGUAGCGGUGAAAUGCGUAGAGAUGUGGAGGAACGCCAGUGGCGAAGGCGACUCUCUGGUCUGUAACUGACGCUGAGGAGCGAAAGCGUGGGGAGCGAACAGGAUUAGAUACCCGUGUAGUCCCUGUCUCUUAUAC
rnacentral:rRNA from 1 species